rnacentral:rRNA from 1 species
UACGUAGGGUGCAAGCGUUGUCCGGAAUUAUUGGGCGUAAAGAGCUCGUAGGCGGUCUGUUGCGUCGGCUGUGAAAAACCCGGGGGCUCAACUCCGGGCCUGCAGCCGAUACGGGGCAGACUAGAGUUCGGCAGGGGGAGACUGGAAUUCCUGGUGUAGCGGUGAAAAUGCGUAGAUAUCUGGAGGAACACCGGUGGCGAAGGCGGCAUCCUGGACCGGUAUUGACGCUGAGGGCGCGAAAAAGCUAGGGGGGAGCAAAACGGGGG